UGCAAAUGAUGUAAACGAAUAUUUGCUAUCUGAAUAUAACGGAUGACUACCCACCAAGAUCGCUGAUGCA